rnacentral:misc_RNA from 1 species
GGCCCCAACGUGAGAGCGUAAUCCUGUCCCAUCGUGCUUGUUUUCGCUUGACGGGUGGAUAACGAACCAAGUUUCACUGUCCGCUCGACCUCCUUUUACGGAUGUAGAGCGAAAAUCACUCUUUUGAGGGGAUAACGUCAAUGCCUUCGGUAGGAAUUCAACACAGGGACCACACGUCACCCCAAGGCACAUGAUGCACUUGGAGCAAACAUUGUUUAGGUAUGCUAGUGAACGGUUCAAUGCACAAGCAGAGAGCCCGCCAACCACACAAACCAAAUACCACUCACACGCUAUCACGUAUUGCAUCACUAGGGAUCAUGCCUACAUGC